rnacentral:rRNA from 1 species
CCUACGGGGGGCAACAGUGGGGAAUAUUGGACAAUGGGGGGAACCCUGAUCCAGCCAUGCCGCGUGUGUGAAGAAGGCCCUCGGGUUGUAAAGCACUUUCAGUGAGGAAGAACGCCUGGUGGUUAAUACCCAUCAGGAAAGACAUCACUCACAGAAGAAGCACCGGCUAACUCCGUGCCAGCAGCCGCGGUAAUACGGAGGGUGCGAGCGUUAAUCGGAAUUACUGGGCGUAAAGCGCGCGUAGGUGGCUUGAUAAGCCGGUUGUGAAAGCCCCGGGCUCAACCUGGGAACGGCAUCCGGAACUGUCAAGCUAGAGUGCAGGAGAGGAAGGUAGAAUUCCCGGUGUAGCGGUGAAAUGCGUAGAGAUCGGGAGGAAUACCAGUGGCGAAGGCGGCCUUCUGGACUGACACUGACACUGAGGUGCGAAAGCGUGGGUAGCAAACAGGAUUAGAUACCCUAGUAGUC